CAGCCGCCGCGGUAAUACGGAGGGCGCGAGCGUUGUCCGGAUUCACUGGGCGUAAAGCGGGUGUAGGCGGUCGGGUAAGUCGGACGUGAAAGCCCGGGGCUCAACCCCGGAAGGGCGUCCGAAACUGCUCGACUUGAGGGCGGGAGAGGGAGGUGGAAUUCCCGGUGUAGCGGUGAAAUGCGUAGAUAUCGGGAGGAACGCCGGUGGCGAAGGCGGCUUCCUGGCCCGUUACUGACGCUGAGGCACGAAAGCCAGGGGAGCGAACCGGAUUAGAUACCCGGGUAGUCCUGGCUGUAAACCAUGGGCGCUAGGUGUGGGUGGUGGUGAGCCAUCUGUGCCGAAGCUAACGCGUUAAGCGCCCCGCCUGGGGAGUACGGUCGCAAGGCUGAAACUUAAAGGAAUUGGCGGG
rnacentral:rRNA from 1 species